CAUGUCCUUUUGAUUAUAAUUUAAGGUCUAAUCUGCCCCCUGAAUUUUAAAUGGCCGCAGUAUUUUGACUGUGCUAAGGUAGCAUAAUCAAUAGUUUUUUAAUUGAAAGCUGGAAUGAAUGAUUGAAUGAGAUAAAAACUGUCUUAAUUUUAAUAAUUAGAAUUUUAUUUUUAAGUUAAAAAGCUUAAAUAAUUUUAAAAGACGAGAAGACCCUAUAGAGUUUAAUAAUUUAAUUUUAUAAAUAAUAUUAUUAUUAAUUUAAUUAGAAUUUAAAUUAUUUUAUUGGGGUGAUAGAAAAAUUUAAUAAACUUUUUUUUUAUUAUUACAUUAAUUAAUGAAUUUUUGAUCCAUAUUUAAUGAUUAAAAGAAUAAAUUACCUUAGGGAUAACAGCGUAAUUUUUUUUUAGAGUUCAAAUCGAAAAAAGAGAUUGCGACCUCGAUGUUGGAUUAAAGUUUAAUUUUGGUGUAGAAGCUAAAUAUUUAAGUCUGUUCGACUUUUAAAACUUUACAUGAUCUGAGU
rnacentral:rRNA from 1 species